UGCAGUCGAGCGGAUGAGAGGAGCUUGCUCCUUGAUUUAGCGGCGGACGGGUGAGUAAUGCCUAGGAAUCUGCCUGGUAGUGGGGGAUAACGUCCGGAAACGGGCGCUAAUACCGCAUACGUCCUACGGGAGAAAGCAGGGGACCUUCGGGCCUUGCGCUAUCAGAUGAGCCUAGGGUCGGAUUAGCUAGUUGGUGAGGUAAUGGCUCACCAAGGCGACGAUCCGUAACUGGUCUGAGAGGAUGAUCAGUCACACUGGAACUGAGACACGGUCCAGACUCCUACGGGAGGCAGCAGUGGGGAAUAUUGGACAAUGGGCGAAAGCCUGAUCCAGCCAUGCCGCGUGUGUGAAGAAGGUCUUCGGAUUGUAAAGCACUUUAAGUUGGGAGGAAGGGCAGUAAGCUAAUACCUUGCUGUUUUGACGUUACCGACAGAAUAAGCACCGGCUAACUUCGUGCCAGCAGCCGCGGUAAUACGAAGGGUGCAAGCGUUAAUCGGAAUUACUGGGCGUAAAGCGCGCGUAGGUGGUUCGUUAAGUUGGAUGUGAAAGCCCCGGGCUCAACCUGGGAACUGCAUCCAAAACUGGCGAGCUAGAGUACGGUAGAGGGUGGUGGAAUUUCCUGUGUAGCGGUGAAAUGCGUAGAUAUAGGAAGGAACAUCCAGUGGCGAAGGCGACCCACCUGGA
rnacentral:rRNA from 1 species